rnacentral:rRNA from 1 species
GACGAACGCUGGCGGCGUGCUUAACACAUGCAAGUCGAACGGAGUGGCGAACGGGUGAGUAAUACGUGGGUACCUUGACAUCCUUUGUGGGGUAAGCAUUGGACACGGGGUCUAAUACCGAAAAACGGGGGAUGGGCUAGCGGCCUUUUAGCUAGUUGGGGGGGUGAUGGCCUACCAAGGCGGUGACGGGUAGCCGGGCUGAGAGGGUGCACGGCCACAUUUGGACUGAGAUACGGCCGAGAGUCCUACGGGGGGGAGCAGUGGGGGAUAUUGCAGAAUGGGCGAACGACUGAUGCAGCGUCGCCGCGUGGGGUAUGAGGGCUUGCGGGUUGUAAACCUCUUUCGCUAUCGAACGGGUAGGUGGAGAAGAAGCGCCGGCUAACUCCGUGCCAGCAGCCGCGGUAAUUC